GAUUCUGCGUCUCCCCAUAGCUGGGGUGAGGAGCAUUGAUCCUGCGUCUCCCGGACUCCAGACACCGGGGAAGGCGUCUUGGGGGAGUGGGGUUUCGCCCCUUCCCGGAGUCAAGCUUCAGGAGCCCAGCAGAACCCAGAGGUGCAUUCAGACCACACUAAAGCACAGCUGUUUCUAGUCUUAUUUUGUCUCCUGAACCUCAGCUGGAGAUGCUUCUUGAGGAAGAGAAAGAACUAUAAGAAACAAGAGCAGAUGCACCAAAAGAUCUCUCCUUUUUUAAUCUACUCAUGGCAUCAACAACACCAGAAAGAACAAAGAAAACAGUUUUGGACUGGGGGAGGGAUCCUGACUAAAAGAAAUUCAGCCAGCAAGUCAGCUGAAACAUGUGGUAAGAAUGACUUUGUUUUGAAUUCACUUAGCUUGUUAAGUUAGACUUUAGUUGCAAUUUACUUCUGUUUUCUUGUAACCAAUUCUGACUUUUAUGUCUCAUUAUUUGGAAUCAUUUAAAACCUAUCCUUCUGUAGUUAAACUUGUCUUACUGUUUUA